UACGAAGGUGGCGAAUGUUGCUCGGAUUCACUGGGCGUAAAGUGUCUGUAGGUGGCUUGUUAAGUUAGAGGUGAAAGCCCCGCGCUCAACGUGGGAACUGCCUUUAAAACUGGCGAGCUUGAGAGUAUCAGAGGAAGGCGGAAUUACUGGUGUAGAGGUAAAAUUCAUAGAUAUCAGUAGGAACAUCCAUGGCGAAGGCAGCUUUCUGGGGAUACAUCUGACACUGA
rnacentral:rRNA from 1 species